UCAUUUUUGUUCUCUUCAAAAUAACCAUGGUGGUUUAGCUCGCACGCAAUCCGAGUACGUAACGAAGACCUCCUGGACACAACAUUGUCAGCUACAUGACAACAUCUUGCUCAGCUGACCAGAAUAAUUACGGAACACAUUUUCAAAACACCCGGUGUCUUCAGAAAACGUGCGGGUUAGAAUGCCCAGUUUUCAACUGCUCUAGCAGCUUGAUCCUUUUUCCAAUGGAUGAAAGGGAAGAGGGAGUUUCCGAGCGUCCUCUUAAAUCAUUACACAACAGAAUCGAAUCGCCAGUUCUGUUUGUAAAUCACACAGGACGAAGAGUCAAUUUGAAAUGGUUUGAUUACAGUGGCGAGGAAAAGUUGUUCGCCACUAUUGUAGGUGGAACGAACAAUCGCCUUAAAAUGAACACAUAUGUGACGCAUCCUUGGAUUGCAGUCGACGAAGAAACAAAUGAAAGACUGUUAUUGAACUUUAGGGAAACAUUUUUCCCCGACGAGCCUGUUAUACAGCGAGUAGACUUUGAUGCCCGCAGAUUUUAUGUAGUGAGAGCGGAAAUAAACAUCACAACACCAGCUAAAACCUUUAAUUGUACAGACUGGAGGAGUAUUGCACAAGGUUUCUGAGGAAGACUGUUUUGUCACAGAACAUUAGAAAGUUACCCCUGCCACAGUCUAUUCUCAAAGAGAUUCUGCAAAAGGUUUCAUGAUCCAUUUAUAGACUACUUGAUCUUCCCAAUUUAUCAUGGAUAAAAACACAUUUGUAGAUGUAAAAAUGUGGCAAGCAAGUGUAGUUUGGUAAAGAAUGUGUUUUUGAUUGGAGAAUACUUGACAAUGGAGCUGUACCUAUAUAUUUAUGAUUUAACAUCCACUGAUGUCCUCUAUGUAAGGUAUAGUGUAUAUGCUUAUUCAUCUGUGUGGUGGUUGAAAAAAAAAAAUUCUACCAAGAGCAAUGCUGUAAACAAAUCGCAACAUGUAAAGUCACUAUAUCUAGAAUUCAUGAAUAAUGUUAGCUGUCAAUAAGAAUUUAUUUGAAUAUUUAUUUGAGAAGCGAUAGUUUUGCAGCAAUUUUUUGUAUUGGUUAACACAAAUUGUGAACAAGUUGCAAACAAAAUUCUGCCAUUCUCUAAGAAUGCUGAUACUACUGUAUUUGAGUCGCAAUAGCAUGGCAUUUAUUACUUGCAAAAUAGUUUGUACACACACAGCAGCUAAUGAAUAAAAUGUAUGCAGAUUCCUGUCCUAGAGAAAGUUCAGAACUCCUCUCUGUGGUAGAAUACUUCUAUUAGAUAUGUGCUGUUGAAUUUUUAAGAUAUUUGAGACCCUCCCCCUCGUCGCUUUAUUCCUCUCGUGACGAAAUGGUCGA